UCGUACAACCGAGACGCGAAGGCUGUCGCUCAUGUUGUGCACGCCCUGGCGCUCUCACCACAAUCCAUGUCACCCCUUUUGUGCAUCACCGCGUGGGUCCGCCCUUUCUGGGAGGGCUCACGUUUUCACACAAAACUCGAUACAGUCUAGAAUGUUCAUUUUUUGCGGUCACACGCAAUCAAUA
rnacentral:misc_RNA from 1 species